rnacentral:rRNA from 1 species
UACGUAGGGGGCGAGCGUUGUCCGGAAUUACUGGGCGUAAAGGGCGCGUAGGCGGUGCUCUAAGUUAGAUGUGAAAACUCUGGGCUCAACCCAGAGCCUGCAUCUAAAACUGGAGUGCUAGAGUUCUGGAGGGGGUAGCGGAAUUCCUGGUGUAGCGGUGAAAUGCGUAGAUAUCAGGAGGAACACCGGUGGCGAAGGCGGCUACCUGGACAGAAACUGACGCUGAGGCGCGAAAGCUAGGGGAGCAAACAGG